rnacentral:rRNA from 1 species
UACGUAGGGGGCUAGCGUUGUCCGGAAUCAUUGGGCGUAAAGCGCGUGUAGGCGGUCCGGUAAGUCCGCUGUGAAAGUCGGGGGCUCAACCCUCGGAUGCCGGUGGAUACUGUCGGGCUUGAGUACGGAAGAGGCGAGUGGAAUUCCUGGUGUAGCGGUGAAAUGCGCAGAUAUCAGGAGGAACACCCGAGGCGAAGGCGGCUCUCUGGGUCGUACCUGACGCUGAGGCGCGAAAGCGUGGGGAGCGAACGGG